GAUGAACGCUGGCGGCGUGCCUAAUACAUGCAAGUCGAGCGAACAGACGAGGAGCUUGCUCCUCUGACGUUAGCGGCGGACGGGUGAGUAACACGUGGAUAACCUACCUAUAAGACUGGGAUAACUUCGGGAAACCGGAGCUAAUACCGGCUAAUAUCUUGAACCGCCUGGUUCAAUAGUGAAAGACGGUCUUGCUGUCACUUAUAGCUGGCUCCGCGCCGCAUUAGCUAGUUGGUAAGGUAACGGCUUACCAAGGCAACGAUGCGUAGCCGACCUGAGAGGGGGAUCGGCCGCACUGGACAGGAGACACGGUCCAGACUCCUACGGGAGGCAGCAGUAGGGAAUCUUACGCAAUGGGCGGAAGCCUGACGGAGCAACGCCGCGUGAGUGAUGAAGGUCUGCGGAUCGUAAAACUCUGUUAUUAGGGAAGAACAAAUGUGUAAGUAACUAUGCACGUCUUGACGGUACCUAAUCAGAAAGCCACGGCUAACUACGUG
rnacentral:rRNA from 1 species